AGAAGUUGGCUGUGCUAUUCGGAAUAAUCAGUCUUUUUGUACUUUUAUAAAUGACUUAUUUCUCAAAGCCACAGAGGGAAAAAAAGACUUCAGGCUGAGAGUAAUUAUGGUACCAGAAAAGAACAAAAUUGACCUGGCUUUAGAGAAGAGGGGAGAAAACUAGUUUGAUAAACAGUACUGUCUCUUCCAGACCAUUCUGACUUUCACCCUCAUAUUUUCUGGCCAUGAUAAUAAAAAAAAAAAGGUCUGAUUUGCUUUGAAUCAGAGACUGUGGGGCUCAGAUGUCUUUGUUUAGGAAGAUUUGAAUUCUUGCUCAAACACCCAUUUGAUGGACACAUUUGUCUUCUGAUGUAAUGACUAUUGAUCAUUUGGAUGAGAUAAGCUGAAAAAGAGAAAAUUUUGGAAAAACCAGGACAAAGAUCAACCAAAAUAAUCAACUCCUAUUUUUCAAAUCCUUGAACUUUGGAGCAUUUGUAACUGGAAAAACACCUGGAAGAACUUUCUGCUAUUUUAGUCCAACGUGCCAUACUCAUAAGAAGGGAAAUCAUCACAUCAUUUGUUGAUCAGAUUCUUGUGUCCACGG
rnacentral:lncRNA from 1 species